UACGUAGGGGGCAAGCGUUGUCCGGAUUUAUUGGGCGUAAAGAGCGUGUAGGCGGUUAGGUAGGUCCGUUGUGAAAACUCGAGGCUCAACCUCGAGACGCCGAUGGAAACCAUCUGACUAGAGUCCGGAAGAGGAGAGUGGAAUUCCUGGUGUAGCGGUGAAAUGCGCAGAUAUCAGGAAGAACACCUGAGGUGAAGACGGGUUGCUGGGCUGACACUGACGCUGAGGCGCGAAAGCCAGGGGAGCAAACGGG
rnacentral:rRNA from 1 species